rnacentral:lncRNA from 1 species
UCACAAACAUUGCAGUGAUAGAACCAAGUGUUUGGGUCUAUCUGCUCGGAACAGAGUUCACACUCGAAUUCAUGAGGAUGAUCAGGUACAUUGUUGAGCGACAGAAUCAGGUCCAGAGUAUGAGGAUCCCAUCGAUGAUUCACCCGACGUGGCCUUAACGCACACCAUAUAUGUAUGUAGAAUUCGCAUCUUUCACAUCCAUACAUCAUAAUUUCUCUGUCUGUUAAAAGUUCAGAACGACAUGCUUUGCAAAUAUAAUCAUCUGGAUAUGGUAAUUGCUUAAGAGGAUGACGAUGAGAUUCAUGUUUGAUUAUUCUGGGUAACGAAGCACACCCGAUAUCAAAACAGGCUGUUUCAUUGCGCAUGAAAAUCCCAUUACCAAGAUGACUGCAACCCUGGCAAUAAAUUAUUUGUUCGUUAUCUACUUGUACUCCCCACAGCUUGCCUGCUAGAUGAUGCUCAAUCUCUUCUGGAAAUAGGGCGCAUGAUUUGUGGAGAAAAAAUUUGCAUAAAUUGCAUUCGUAGGAUAUAUCAUCAACCAAAGAUAUAGGUUUAGUGCACCCGUCACAGAUUAGCAAUUCAGUUUCUGCUAAUUUAUGUUUCAAGUUAGAGGUUGAAGUUGUUGCGUUCUUGUUUCUAAGUGUCAGCGGGUGUUUAUGAGUCCAAUGGUUGAUAUAAGGUAAAGGUUCCGCAUUGGCAGAGUCAUGCAGGAGGGAAUUUGCUGCCUUGAUGAUACAUUGUUGCAUCGUUUCGUGCAGUGAUGCUUGAUCAUGCACUGGGAAGUGCAUCAAACUGGACUCUCCGCAAUCUGCUUCAUCAUCAAUAUCACUUUCGCUAUUCCAGAAAAAAGAAUCAAACCCAAUCAGAAUAAUCCCAAGUUAAACAACAAUUUAAGAAAAUCAAAAGUUUAUUUAAUAAGUAAUCAGUAUAAGAGAUAUGAGAAAUACUGAGAGAAAUGGUUAAUCAACCUCAACAUUUCUGUCAGUGAAGCACAUUUCACGUGAGCAAAAAACCUGCAAUUUGCACAAUAAUAAACCCAUUUGUUGAGAUUUACAACUUCAUCACAGAUGCUGCAGAAACCGGUGAAUUGACUAUAUUCUUGGGGAACAGAGUAGUACAAGAUGAGAGUGUGUUCGGUGUGAAAUUUACUUUGGUAGGUAAUGGGUGCAUUGGCACAACUCUUGUGCAUCCAGAAACAACAUUUGGUACAUAUAUAAGACAAGUCUGUAGCCGUCGUGUUUUACUCCCUCCAUCCCAUUUUAAGUGUCCACUUUGCAAAUUUCACACAUCUUAAGAAACAAUUAAUGUAAUGUUUUUAUCAUUAUCUUCACACACCUAUUCAUCUUGUUUUUAUAAAUAUUAAUUACGUGUAACACCACUCCUACUAUGUAUUUGACCUUUCUUCAUAUUGGAAUAGUUGGUUGUAUUUAAUACUGUAUUGGAACUAGUAAAAACUUGCAUGGGUUAAAGAGUAUGACACAUAUUUUGGGAUUUUUUUUUUUGGCAAAGUGGACACUUAAAAUGGGAUGGAGGGAGUACUUUUUUGUUUUGAUGUUUUUAUCCUCUAAUUUUUGAAAAUAAAUAUUUUUUGUUAGGAAAGAUUAAAUAUGGAUAUUUGAUUUUAAAAAUAAUUUAUAAAUAUGAAAAUUUUAUUUAAAACAAGCAGAUAAGUUAAGUACGCUGAAACAUGGUCGUUGUGUUAUUAAUUUAUGUUUUUGAAAUUUAAUAUUUAGGAUUGUUGGUUAUUUAAACUUUAAUUUUUUUAUUAAUUUAUAUUUUUGAAAUUUGAGUUAAGAAAAUAUAUUUUAUAAUUUUGAAAGAUAAUUUAUACUUUCUUUAUUCAGGUGACUUAUACGUAUAGUUUGAAUGUUGACCCAUAUUUUAAUACUUUUAUAAAAUAUAUUUUUAUAUUUUAUUUUAAACAAAAUAAAAUAAAAUAUGAAAAUAUAAAAAUAUAUUUUAUAAGAGUACAAUAUGUUUUCAACACAAAUAUGGUAAUUAAGACCAUUGUUUUGAGGAGCAAGAACAUAGUUGAUAAUUUUUGCAUUCCAAAGAAAAAAAUAUAGCCAAAGGCCUUUUAUUCUAGUGCAAUGCUCCAUCAGGCUUUGCAAUAAGACACUUUCAUUCUUCAUUACAUUUGACACAAGUGCAGCAUCUGAUUUGAAGUCUGAUUUCAUCAACAACGCACAUGAACCAUAAAUUCGCAUUCUGAACAUUCGAGGACUAUCCAGCCGGGUGCAUCUAUACCACACUUGUCGCAUUUCCUCUUCUUUUUAUUCACGGCCAAUGUCAGGCCGUGUGAGUGAGGAUGUGAGUCGGUAUGAAUGUUGGUGGCACCAAGCUUGAUAUUGGAGAGCCAGGAAUCAGGAUCAAUACAGAAAGUAUCAAAUGAUAGAUCACAAACAUUGCAGUGAUAGAACCAAGUGUUUGGGUCUAUCUGCUCGGAACAGAGUUCACACUCGAAUUCAUGAGGAUGAUCAGGUACAUUGUUGAGCGACAGAAUCAGGUCCAGAGUAUGAGGAUCCCAUCGAUGAUUCACCCGACGUGGCCUUAACGCACACCAUAUAUGUAUGUAGAAUUCGCAUCUUUCACAUCCAUACAUCAU